rnacentral:rRNA from 1 species
UACGUAGGGUGCAAGCGUUGUCCGGAAUUAUUGGGCGUAAAGAGCUCGUAGGCGGUCUGUUACGUCGGCUGUGAAAACCUGGGGCUCAACCCCGGGCCUGCAGCCGAUACGGGCAGACUAGAAUUCGGUGAGGGGAGACUGGAAUUCCUGGUGUAGCGGUGAAAUGCGCAGAUAUCAGGAGGAACACCGGUGGCGAAGGCGGGUCUCUGGGCCGAUAUUGACGCUGAGGAGCGAAAGCGUGGGGAGCAAACAGG